rnacentral:rRNA from 1 species
UUUAUCAGGAAAGAAUAAUGACGGUACCUGAUGAAUAAGCACCGGCUAACUCCGUGCCAGCAGCCGCGGUAAUACGGGGGGUGCAAGCGUUUACUCGGAAUCACUGGGCGUAAAGGACGCGUAGGCGGAUUAUCAAGUCUUUUGUGAAAUCUAGUGGCUUAACCACUAAACUGCUUAGGAAACUGAUAGUCUAGAGUAGGGGAGAGGUAGAUGGAAUUCUUGGUGUAGGGGUAAAAUCCGUAGAGAUCAAGAAGAAUACCCAUUGCGAAAGCGAUCUGCUGGAACCUAACUGACGCUGAGGCGUGAAAGCGUGGGUAGCAAACAGGAUUAGAUACCCUGGUAGUCCACGCCCUAAACGAUGUAUACUAGUUGUUGCUUUGCUAGUCAAGGCAGUAAUGCAGCUAACGCAUUAAGUAUACCGCCUGGGGAGUACGGUCGCAAGAUUAAAACUCAAAGGAAUAGACGGGGACCCGCACAAGCGGUGGAGCAUGUGGUUUAAUUCGAAGAUACGCGAAGAACCUUACCUGGACUUGACAUCCUAAAAACAUCUAAGAGAUUAGAAAGUGCUAGUUUACUGGAAUUUAGUGACAGGUGCUGCACGGCUGUCGUCAGCUCGUGUCGUGAGAUGUUGGGUUAAGUCCCGCAACGAGCGCAACCCACGUGUUUAGUUGCUAACAGUUCGGCUGAGCACUCUAAACAGACUGCCUUCGUAAGGAGGAGGAAGGUGUGGACGACGUCAAGUCAUCAUGGCCCUUAUGUCCAGGGCGACACACGUG